rnacentral:rRNA from 1 species
GGUUAAGCGACUAAGCGUACACGGUGGAUGCCCUGGCAGUCAGAGGCGAUGAAGGACGUGCUAAUCUGCGAUAAGCGUCGGUAAGGUGAUAUGAACCGUUAUAACCGGCGAUUUCCGAAUGGGGAAACCCAGUGUGAUUCGUCACACUAUCAUUAACUGAAUCCAUAGGUUAAUGAGGCGAACCGGGGGAACUGAAACAUCUAAGUACCCCGAGGAAAAGAAAUCAACCGAGAUUCCCCCAGUAGCGGCGAGCGAACGGGGAGCAGCCCAGAGCCUGAAUCAGUGUGUGUGUUAGUGGAAGCGUCUGGAAAGGCGCGCGAUACAGGGUGACAGCCCCGUACACAAAAAUGCACAUACUGUGAGCUCGAUGAGUAGGGCGGGACACGUGGUAUCCUGUCUGAAUAUGGGGGGACCAUCCUCCAAGGCUAAAUACUCCUGACUGACCGAUAGUGAACCAGUACCGUGAGGGAAAGGCGAAAAGAACCCCGGCGAGGGGAGUGAAAAAGAACCUGAAACCGUGUACGUACAAGCAGUGGGAGCCUCUUUAUGGGGUGACUGCGUACCUUUUGUAUAAUGGGUCAGCGACUUAUAUUCUGUAGCAAGGUUAACCGAAUAGGGGAGCCGAAGGGAAACCGAGUCUUAACUGGGCGUUAAGUUGCAGGGUAUAGACCCGAAACCCGGUGAUCUAGCCAUGGGCAGGUUGAAGGUUGGGUAACACUAACUGGAGGACCGAACCGACUAAUGUUGAAAAAUUAGCGGAUGACUUGUGGCUGGGGGUGAAAGGCCAAUCAAACCGGGAGAUAGCUGGUUCUCCCCGAAAGCUAUUUAGGUAGCGCCUCGUGAAUUCAUCUCCGGGGGUAGAGCACUGUUUCGGCAAGGGGGUCAUCCCGACUUACCAACCCGAUGCAAACUGCGAAUACCGGAGAAUGUUAUCACGGGAGACACACGGCGGGUGCUAACGUCCGUCGUGAAGAGGGAAACAACCCAGACCGCCAGCUAAGGUCCCAAAGUCAUGGUUAAGUGGGAAACGAUGUGGGAAGGCCCAGACAGCCAGGAUGUUGGCUUAGAAGCAGCCAUCAUUUAAAGAAAGCGUAAUAGCUCACUGGUCGAGUCGGCCUGCGCGGAAGAUGUAACGGGGCUAAACCAUGCACCGAAGCUGCGGCAGCGACGCUUAUGCGUUGUUGGGUAGGGGAGCGUUCUGUAAGCCUGUGAAGGUGUACUGUGAGGUAUGCUGGAGGUAUCAGAAGUGCGAAUGCUGACAUAAGUAACGAUAAAGCGGGUGAAAAGCCCGCUCGCCGGAAGACCAAGGGUUCCUGUCCAACGUUAAUCGGGGCAGGGUGAGUCGACCCCUAAGGCGAGGCCGAAAGGCGUAGUCGAUGGGAAACAGGUUAAUAUUCCUGUACUUGGUGUUACUGCGAAGGGGGGACGGAGAAGGCUAUGUUGGCCGGGCGACGGUUGUCCCGGUUUAAG